GAAAUGUUUUGGAAGCAAAAGACACAGGGAUACUCUCCUGUUGGAAAGAAUUGGUGCCACUUUAGUCCCUGAAAAGAAAGAGACUUAGAAAUAGGGCCUUGUGACUGUAUGCUGCUACCAAAGGAGAUUUUUGUCACUGGGCCUAGGGCACUUUUGCACUUUCUUGUGUCAACAUGAACAGAUCAGAUUGACUGCUUAACUGAUGCUGGUGCAGUUCCUUUUUGUCUGCAGAUGUAAUGUGGGUUUCCAGCUCUUUCAAGUGUGAACAGGGUGCGGGAACCAGCAGAGAGAAUGGCUACAGCUGUUCUUGUUGGUCGGGCCAUAUAUUAUUGUUGGCGGGUUUGACAGCUUCUGAAGGAAAUGGCUGAAGGGUAUCAGGCAGGUGAAUCAACUGUAAAAAUUUAUUGGAGGAUACAAACUGUUUCCAGGGGACUGAUAUAAAACUCACACUUGAGAACUGAAGUAUUGAAUGUUUUUGUGACUGAAGCAGCUUGUUGUCAAUAUUUAUAGCUUUUCUCUUUGUUACAUGUCCUAUUUGUUUGAUUAACUAGUCAGAUGUUAGUGUCUCUUUGUAAUUUAUUUGUUGCGCCUUCUGUAGCGUUUUUGAUACAUAAAGAUUUACCACUAGGUAAAUAGAGCAGCUCGUUCAAUGCAAAAUGCUAAAUAAAAUGACAGAGCUGUUUACAGCGUGUUACAAGUUUUAUAACUCAGUAGGUAGAUCAGUAACUUUUGUUUACCAGUGUCACAGUUAAGUUGAAACAUGUUGCAGUGUAUUAAGUGCUGUGAGGUACAGGUCUCCAUUUAAAUAACUGGAGAUUAUAAUCAAUAUGUACCUUAGCAGUAAAUCAUUUGAGAGUCUAUAAAGACUUUCAUGUAAACCCAUUGAUAAUGCAAACAUCUCUGAAAUAAAACGAAAUACCUGCAUGCUCUUUAGAAUGAGCUUUAUAUUCACAGUUUCCUUUCUGAUGUAUCUGCAUCAGUGCUUUUUAUAAAUUAUAAAAGAGAGAAACACUAAAGUAGCCACUAACAAGCUGUGUGUUAAAUGUUAGUCCCCAUCUGGGUGUGUGCAGGGUCCA